rnacentral:snRNA from 1 species
AUUCUUAACUGACAGAGGUGAAUCAGGAAAGUGGCUUCCCUAGGGUGAGGCUUAUCCAUUUGCACUCUGGAUGUGCUGACCCCUAUGAUUUCCUCAAAUAUAGGAAAAAUGACUGUACAAUUUGUGGUAGUGGGGGACUGGUCAUGUCGUUCUCUGA